AUCCAGCUGAUGAGUGCCAAAUAGGACGAAACGCGCGUCCUGGAU
rnacentral:hammerhead_ribozyme from 1 species